CGGGAUGUAGCUCAACUUGGGAGAGCACCUGGUCCGGGGCCAGGCUGUUGCGUGUUCGAAUCGCGUCAUCCCGACCA
rnacentral:tRNA from 1 species